CGACCGCACGAACGUUUGCGGUCGGCGCGUCCCGAUACGUGUAAAACGGUUUUUGGGAUCGGCCGGUAAGGUUCAUUACAUUAUACACUUGUACGUCGCACAGCACUCGUACACGGAUUGUAUGUCGUAGUGCUGUUAUUAUAUGGGUAUAAUCAUCUUUCACCGUAAACGUUCAAAACUCCGGCGGCCCCGGCGUCCGCCUCCGCGCGAAUAGGUGUCGGUCCGUAACUCCGACGUACGAUAUUUAUACACGUACGAAGAACAUCGUAGUGAGUGUUAUAACGUCAUGUUUAGCGGACCAGAGCGGUGCAGCUUGCAGCCCGCCACCGCCGUAGCGCGUCUACCUACAGUGGGUGCCAGCGGACCGUGUCGACUGCGCCGUGAACGUCAUCGAAUGUGUUGUGAUUAACCGCAAGCUGUUACUAACAUACAACACAACGUUCUAUUAGGGAUACAAUCAGCUUGUGCGUUCUUCUUAAAGGCUAAAUGCUUAGGUACUAGCGAUAAAAAUAGUAUAAUAACAUUGGAUUAAACAUAAUUUGUGUUGCAAAGGC